UUACACUCCACCACUGCUUCUGUUCAUGCUCUGAGAUUAUCGGGACUAACGGCUUCGCUAAUCUGGAUCCGGGGACUCGGUUCAUGCGUGAUGUGGAAACUUCAGCUUUAGUCAGACUGAUGUGAGGAUGCAGGUUUGAUCGAGGAGCAGGAAGUGACGAAACACAACAUGUCACAUGGUCAGACUCACGGGAGCAUCAGUCGCUCCACGGUCGGAGGAGACAUGAGCUCACAGGACAAAGACACAUCACAGCGGGGCAGGUGGGUGCAAUGACAUUUCCUGUCCGCCCAAAUUUAACAGCCAGCAUGAACGCGUGAACGACCUCAGAAACCAGACAUCAGCAUGCGGGAGGUUGUUGAUGACGACAACAAUGACAGCAUCAACGCACAAUAAAGUAGGAGACACACUGACAGACACGGCCCACUCACACUGACCUCUGAAACUUCAGGUAAACAUAAAAACAGGAGUUACACGUGCAGUUUCACUCUGUUUCCCUUCUCAUGUCUUGAGCCUCCCACAUUAAUAACAUGAUCACUGCUGCCCAGCUCUUUGGACACGUGUGCAGACUGACUUCACAGUUUCAUCAUUAAUAACCAGCAAAUCAGUCUGAACACCCUGCACAUAAACGGUUAAAAAAAAAAAAAGAAAAAAAAAAAAAAGAGCGUUACCUUCAAGUCUGAACAUCCUGAAUUUGAACACCUGUCGAUCUGUGAUGAUUGUUUAUGGUUUCAGUAAAAAACACCAGCAGGACACGUCUCAGCUCCUCAUGGGAAACAUCCAAAGGUCUUCCUAAAAGCGCCGACACCCUCAGCAUCAGAAGCCCUGCUCCUGCUUUCAGUAGAAAUAACUUCAGGUGGGAUCUCGAACACCUUUACUCAGGUUAUUUUAUCAAAAAGAUGUUUCCAGCUGCAUUAGACUGGCAGCUUUACUCAUCACUCACAUCACUCAGCAACAUAUGAAGCUGAGCUUUUUAACCCCGACCUCUUUUGAUUCAUCAGUUUUAAAUCAUCACUGGAAAGAAAAAAAAAAAAAGAAAAAAAUAUAAAGGUAUAAAAUGAUGUAAAUUAAGAUUUGGCUGAAAAACCUGAGAUGACUGAUCACUGUGACGAUUUAUCGAUUUUCAGUUGAUCCUCUUUGAAUCAGUGCUGUCAGAUAAACAUGACGGAUUUAAAGUAAAAUGUACUCAGAAAUCAGAUGAAAUCGUUCGGUGGAUAAACACAACUCCACCUUUGGCCUCAGCAGCUGAGAGUCUGGUCAGCAGCACAGCUCACAUUUAAAGUUAAACAUCACAUUUUAACUGAUACUCCUGUUUCUCUGCAGCUCUGUAUUUCACCCAGUACUUCAUAUUUGUUGUACUUUUUUUUUUUUUUUUUUUUUAAAUUGAACAGUUUAAACUUGUAAGAACUGGCUGAUCAUUUGUUUCUGAAUAAAAUGCCUCUUUGAAAACUCCUGUUUAAAACCUUGUAAAUAAACUGAGGCUGACCUCAUGUCCCAAACAUCUGUAUUUAAGGUGGACUGAACCCGAACUUGGGCCAGGUUACAGUCAUGUAAUACCAACAUUAACCACACGAUGGAGCAGUGUCAGCAGGCGUCCUUAAAGACUCGUUCUUAUUUCAGAUCCCCUGAUCAGGAAACCGCUGCUCCCGGUGGUCAAAGUCUUACUUCAGGUUAGCAGAGGGCAUUUGCUGGAUUUAAUCUGCAGGUUAUUUUAAAGUAAUAACAUUAAUAACUGUCCACAGGUUUCAUUUACCAGCGUAAUUAUUUUAACCUAAACAUGGAGAAUUAGGAUUUCUCUUCUUAUAACCAGCAGCUGUUUUUUCCCCCAUUAAUAACUCAACGUUUCAAAGGGGAUCAGUUUUUCUGACAGGACUUUAAAAUCAUGACUCAUCAGUAAUUGAAUAUUUUUAACCACAGGUUCAUCGUCUCACUCGGGGUCAUUUAACAGUUUGUUUCUUAAAGGUCCAAUCAGGGAUGAGGUCUGCAACUCAGCUGUGACUGAGUCCUGUAUCCUCCCUGCUCUUUAAACCGAUGCUCUAAUUAUUAUUUGUCCCAAAUAAAUGAAUACAAACACUGUUAAGACUGUAUCAUAAAGGAAUAAAAGCAUUUUCAUAAUGUGAGUAAAGGUCAAUUUCAGCCCUAUGUUGAUGAACCUCUGCAACAAAACUGCUGAACAUUUUACAAUGAGUGUAAAUCAGAUUUAAUCAUUCAGUCUCAAAGAUCUUUAAACACAGAGAAACAAUUGUAAUGGAGUAUUUUCCAGCCCUUCAGCAGUUUCUCAUUAAACGUUCAGCCCCGCCCCCUCACACAUCAUCCAUCCUGUUAAAUGAAUACAAAAAAUACAAAAUUGUUGUUUGUUGUAGUUUAAUUUUGUUUUUCCAUAACUGCUCUGCAGCAGAAAGAAACCACAGCAUCCAUAGAAUUUACAUCAAUUCAGCUCUUUGUACACAAAUCCAGUUCUCCCAGUUCAGUCAUGUGACCAUGUUUGUUGUCCUUUUAAAAUCCAAGUUACCUUCGAACCUCAGACUGCAGAAAAAAAAAAAAAAAAAAAGUUCCCCCCCCACAUCAACAUUUACACGAACAGGGUGACCUGGUGUCCUUCAUCAGGACCAGUUUAACCCCAGUUUGGACUCUGGAGGAGGAAAGGCUGUCAGCGGGUCAGUGCAGCAGCAUCAGUCAGAGCAGAGAUGUGGAAAAGCAUUUGUAAAUAAAACACAGCCUACACAGACACAGCAGCUGGAACACGUUUCAGUGAUUAGGACAGAAAAUGAACUCAAACGUCAGAGACGUCAGCCUCGUCACGCUCACCGCCUUUACAGAGUUGGGAAAGCUGCACUCAGUGAAAUAUUUACACCUCAGUUUCACCAUUUCUGCAAAUUUGACCCAGUCAGAUAUUUUACCUGCUGCAUGAGAGCUUUCAGGCUGAGCACGCUCACCAGUCACACAGCUAACAUACCUCUGCAGCGAGGAGCGUAAAAACCUUUCAGGAAAAGUGAUUUUAUACAGGAAGACUAAACCCACAGGCCCAAGAGCCAUCACUUCAACAGCAAACCUACAAAACACUGACAUCUGUAAGUGUGCUCACAUCCCUCUGGGCUUUGCAGGUCUAUAUCCUGCUUGUUAUUCAUGCUGUAAUUUAUGGCAGUUCAUGGAGGACGAGUCUGUAGCAUGCCUAAUAAACUGUCCCCAUCCCUGCUCUUACUCAUUUACUGCAGAAACAUCUUUAAACCAAAUAAGUCCACCCAGCUCUUCAUGAAACUUCUCUUUAGAUGAAACUCUUCAGAUUAUUCUGGAAGGUACCUACAGACAUGAUAAUGAGGGUCUGUCGGAGCACAGAGCAUCAGUAAUGUACUCGCUCAGGUUUAUUAUUAACAUUUGUAAGCAGACCUGAGGCUUUGCUGACACCUGCUGGCCAGUUGUUGUACUGCGGUUUGCACACAGUCCUGAAGCUGAACCUAUCAAAUCCUUUAUAUUUACUGUAAACAUGAUUAAAUAUGAGGAUUUGAAAGAAUUUUAAAGACUUUGAUCUGUGGACACUGACAUGCUCAUAACUACUAAACCUUUUCCCAGCAGGUGAGUUUUUUGUUUUUUUUGUGCUUUUUUAAAAAUUCCACCAUUGACUUUGUAGUUUGAAUCAGUCUUAUUGGCUCAGGUCAUCCUGUAUAACCCCGCCCUCUAAACAUCAUCCUCAUUUCAUAUUCGGGGACAGAUUUGGUGACUCCUGGUUUAAACUUACUGCAGAAGAAUAAUCAAAUAUAAAUAAUGUGCAGAAUAUUUUUGGAAGAUGGCAGGUGUUCACGUCUAUCCAGUCAGUCCAGGUUCAGACGGAAUGCUGUGACUAAAAUUUGGGUUUUUAAUAAGUAUUUUCCUCUCUGUGGUUCUGGAGGUUUUUUUCCAUGUGAACCUUUUUUUAAAAUCCAGUAACGUCACUUUGUUCUUAAAUCCUGACUUGGUUUCUCAGGUUGGUUGUUCAGCUUAAAGAAAUUAAAAAUAAAUCAGACUUGCUUCCAGCAGAGUAAUAACAGUGAGCGUGAGGAUUGUUCUAGAAAAACAUUGAGCUGCUUUAAAGCUGCAGAGCCUGUCUGAAUAUUUUUACCUUUAACAACAGGCUUCUCUUUGAUCGUCACUAUAAAUGUGAGGAAAUAUAAAUAUUACUCAGACUAUUCUGGAAGGUACAGAUAUUAUAAUUAAACAACAUCUCUGAGUAGCAGGAGAUUAAGUGUUUCCAUGUCACUUAAUCCAGUUUAAAUAUCUCUGAAUUUAAAAAAAUAAAAUAAAAAAAUAAAUCAUAUCCUUCUAAAUGAUUUUGUUCUGAGGGGUGGAGAAGUCCCCUGAGUCUCCAGAGAGCUCCACCUUUUUGUAAUUCUAACAAUAUUUUCUUGUUCUCAUAAAUCCUGAUUUCAGGAUUAUUCCACAAGCACAGAUUUUAUUCCUGUUUUUAAAAUCACAAGAUUUUGGUCCUCAGUGAGGAAACUUCCAGAUCAUGAGGCAGCAACAGGGAGGGGAGGGGCUCCUCCUCCCUUUACUCAGGGAUUGUUCUGGAAGCUCAGCUUGCUUUUUCCAGCUUAUCCAGCUGUUUACAGCCAAAAAAAAGAACAGGUUUCAGCAAACAUGAAACAGCCUCAGACACCAACCCAACCUCCACCCGCACUGCUCCACCCACACCAGCCAGCUCGGUACUCACAGUUCUGCGCCGACCCCGCGAUAACGAGGAGCUCCUCCAUCCCCCAUCUUCCUCCUCGUGCAGCCCGGAGCACUGCGCCUCCUCCCCGCUUUAUAAGCUGAGCGCCCUCCUACCACCAGCUUCC
ensembl:lncRNA